UCGGCGGCUCCGGGAAGAUGGCGGCCCGGGCGGGUUUCCAGUCUGUGGCUCCAAGCGGCGGCGCCGGAGCCUCAGGAGGGGCGGGCGCGGCUGCUGCCUUGGGCCCGGGCGGAACUCCGGGGCCUCCUGUGCGAAUGGGCCCGGCUCCGGGUCAAGGGCUGUACCGCUCCCCGAUGCCCGGAGCGGCCUAUCCGAGACCAGGUAUGUUGCCAGGCAGCCGAAUGACACCUCAGGGACCUUCCAUGGGACCCCCUGGCUAUGGGGGGAACCCUUCAGUCCGACCUGGCCUGGCCCAGUCAGGGAUGGAUCAGUCCCGCAAGAGACCUGCCCCUCAGCAGAUCCAGCAGGUCCAGCAGCAGGCGGUCCAAAAUCGAAACCACAAUGCAAAGAAAAAGAAGAUGGCUGACAAAAUUCUACCUCAAAGGAUUCGUGAACUGGUACCAGAAUCCCAGGCCUAUAUGGAUCUCUUGGCUUUUGAAAGGAAACUGGACCAGACUAUCAUGAGGAAACGGCUAGAUAUCCAAGAGGCCUUGAAACGUCCCAUCAAGGUAACACAGGAAAGUACUAGGCAGAGAGCCAAAGGAGAG
rnacentral:sRNA from 1 species